rfam:Clostridium estertheticum subsp. estertheticum strain DSM 8809, complete genome.
GGGAGCCGUAUGAGCUGAGAGGUUCACGUACGGUUCUGAGAGAAACUAAGGGUGAAGUUCCCUUGGUUUACUUACUCAAAU